rnacentral:rRNA from 1 species
AACGAACGCUGGCGGCAUGCCUAACACAUGCAAGUCGAACGAGACCUUCGGGUCUAGUGGCGCACGGGUGCGUAACGCGUGGGAACCUGCCCUUAGGUUCGGAAUAACUCCCCGAAAGGGGUGCUAAUACCGGAUAAUGUCUUCGGACCAAAGAUUUAUCGCCUUUGGAUGGGCCCGCGUUGGAUUAGCUAGUUGGUAGGGUAAAAGCCUACCAAGGCGACGAUCCAUAGCUGGUCUGAGAGGAUGAUCAGCCACACUGGGACUGAGACACGGCCCAGACCCCUACGGGGGGGAGGAGGGGGGAAAUUUGGAAAAGGGGCGAAAGCCGGAUCCAGGAAUGCCGGGGUGGGGAUGAAGGCCUUAGGGUUUGAAAGCCCUUUUACCCGGGAAGAAAAUGAACGGACCGGGGGAAUAAGCCCCGGCUAACUCCG